rnacentral:rRNA from 1 species
UAAGCGGAGGAAAAGAAACUAACAAGGAUUCCCCUAGUAACUGCGAGUGNAGCGGGAAAAGCUCAAAUUUAAAAUCUGGCGGUCUCUGGCCGUCCGAGUUGUAAUUUAGAGAAGCGUCUUCCGCGCCGGACCGUGCACAAGUCUCCUGGAAUGGAGCGUCAUAGAGGGUGAGAAUCCCGUCUUUGGCACGGAUGCCUGUGCUUCUGCGAUGCGCUCUCGAAGAGUCGAGUUGUUUGGGAAUGCAGCUCAAAAUGGGUGGUGAACUCCAUCUAAAGCUAAAUAUUGGCGAGAGACCGAUAGCGAACAAGUACCGUGAGGGAAAGAUGAAAAGCACUUUGGAAAGAGAGUGAAACAGUACGUGAAAUUGUUGAAAGGGAAACGCUUGAAGUCAGUCGCGUCGACCGAGACUCAGCCUUGCCUUGGCUUGGUGUACUUCUCGGCCCGACGGGUCAGCAUCAAUUUUGCCCCUCGGAUAAUGGCAAGGGAAAGGUGGCACCUUUNCGGGUGUGUUAUAGUCUCCUGUCGCAUGCGAGGGGUGGGAUUGAGGAACUCAGCGCGCACCUUGGUGUCGGGGCUUCGGCCCACGUCACGCGCUUAGGAUGCUGGCGUAAUGGCUUUAAAC